UGGGGAAUAUUGCACAAUGGGGGAAACCCUGAUGCAGCGACGCCGCGUGAGCGAUGAAGGCUUUCGAGUCGUAAAGCUCUGUCCUAUGGGAAGAUAAUGACGGUACCAUAGAAGAAAGCCCCGGCUAAUUACGUGCCAGCAGCCGCGGUAAUACGUAAGGGGCGAGCGUUGUCCGGAAUUAUUGGGCGUAAAGGGUACGUAGGCGGGUAAGCAAGUUAGGAGUGAAAUCCUGUAGCAAAACUACAGUAAGCUUUUAAAACUGCUAAUCGUGGGAUAUGGAAGAGAGAGUGGAAGUCCUGAGGUAGCGGUUACAUGAGCAGAUAGUAGGAGGAAUACCGGUGGCGAAGGAGACUUACUAGACAUGAUCUGACGCUGGGGUACGAAAGCGUGGGUAGCAAACAGG
rnacentral:rRNA from 1 species